UUCUCCGGAGAGACCCGUUUAGUCGGGCGCCGAAGGGGCAAAGCGAUUAUGAUUCGCUCAAUCUCUCAGGCAAAAGGACGGAGCG
rnacentral:ncRNA from 1 species